rnacentral:lncRNA from 1 species
AAAGUUUUAUUUUAGAUUCAAAGAAAGAAAAUGGAUUCUUACCAGAACCAAUCCGGAGUGCAAAAGAAGGGAAUGACGGAGAAAAUCAUGGAGAAGCUCCCAGGUCAUCAUGCACCUCGUCAAACCGGAGCCAGCACUGGCUAUGGUGCUACUACCACCGGCGGUGUUCACCACGAGAAGAAGGGCAUGACGGAGAAGAUAAUGGAGAAGCUCCCAGGUCAUGCACCUCAUCAGACCGGAGCCAACACUGCUUAUGGUGCUACUACCACUGGCGGUGUUCACCACGAGAAUAAAGGGAUGACGGAGAAGGUUAUGGAGCAGCUGCCAGGCCAUC